UGGGGAAUAUUGGACAAUGGGGGCAACCCUGAUCCAGCCAUGCCGCGUGAGUGAUGAAGGCCUUCGGGUUGUAAAGCUCUUUUGGCGGGGACGAUGAUGACGGUACCCGCAGAAUAAGCCCCGGCUAACUUCGUGCCAGCAGCCGCGGUAAGACGAAGGGGGCUAGCGUUGUUCGGAAUUACUGGGCGUAAAGCGAGUGUAGGCGGUUGCCGUAGUCAGGUGUGAAAGCCUUGAGCUCAACUCAAGAAAUGCACUUGAUACUGGGCGACUAGAGGACCGGAGAGGAUAGUGGAAUUCCCAGUGUAGUGGUGAAAUACGUAGAGAUUGGGAAGAACACCAGUGGCGAAGGCGGCUAUCUGGACGGUUACUGACGCUAAGACUCGAAAGCGUGGGGAGCAAACAGGAUUAGAUACCCCUGGUAGUCCACGCCGUAAACGAUGGGUGCUAGACGUUGGCGAGCUUGCUCGUCAGUGUCGCAGCUAACGCGUUAAGCACCCCC
rnacentral:rRNA from 1 species